UUUGGCUAAGACACUUCUACAAUUUUAUGGUCAAACCAUCAUUAAAGAUUUAAGGCCCUGUUUUUUUUUCUAAAGACUAUAAAGUAAAUAAAAGUAUUUUUACCUGAAGUUGAGAAUGGUCAAACUUUUUGCAUAUCCGCAUCAGCUUCGAUGCUUCUUCAAGUGAGCUUUGAUUUUUUCAUACAUGUCUGUAGAAAAUUAAAAUAAAUUUCAAAACUGAGCGAUACAAAUAUUUAUGCUAUAUUUUAUAUGAACGCCUAGAUUACUGUAUCAUUAUGCCUACGCAAUUUUAAACUCGACCGCCAUAUUAAAAAAAAAGAGUAUUAAUCCACACAAUGAAUGAUAAAAAUUUCGAACUGGUAUAAAAAAAGAAGAUAUGAAAAAACCUAUCAAGAAUUCAAGAUCAAAACUGAAAAUUUGGAGAGAUGAAGGAUCGUUUGUUUUGCGUCGUUGAACAACUGGAGAUUGUAAAAGAGAUUCUUAACUUUUAACGAAGCUUGUAAAGAAAUUUGUUGAUGAGUUGAAUUUAUAUGCUACAAUUGAAAAACAGUUUAUGCGAAAGAGGUGGAGAUCGUGGUUUUAGAAAGAAGUGAAAAAGGUUAAUAUCUUGUUAGUUCGAGUGAGAAACAAUCUAGAGAAAAAACUGUAAUAAUAACGCAUUUAAUUUUUUCUAAUUAAUUUUGAAGCACAAGCCAUGUGGCAAAAUUUUAUUGGCCAUGUGACUUGUGCUUUAGUAUAUAAAGGAUUUUACACAAUAAGACAGUUUCUACUACUAAAGUAGUUUUUCUAACCAAAUUCAUUUUCUAGCUAAAAUCUAACUAAAUAACCUUGUAACCAAAUGACCCAAACUAACUAAAUUUAAUAUAUAUUUUUUGCUGGGAUUUAACCACAGCCUUUUAUUUAUAUAUUAUUUUAAUGUUUAAGAUUCAACACAAACAAAAUGCUCUGUAACAUCAUCUCCCGAUCUUCUUCCUCAAGCUGUUAUGUCUUCCUCUUUGUAUAACCUUAAACGACAACCACGGCGAGCUCCAAUCAUCAUCCCCGCCGUGACCUGCUUCUUGCCACCGACUUUUCUCCUCCACAAUCCGCAUCUGUCAAGUUCCCACAGUGAGCUCCUCCCACCACUUUCUCCCCACACACUCAUCUUAUGCCAUGGUACUCACGAGCACUGGAGCUGUUCUCAGCGACGAUGGUUGCGGCGAGUUCCAGUCUCCGUUCACUCUUUCAUUCGAAGCCGCCGUAAUCAUAACCGUCAACGAACAUGGCGUAAUGAGUUAGAUCCAAGUUUUAUUGGAGCAAUUCGGUGGUGACUCAGUCGGAAUGAGUUAGAUCCAAAAUAGCUAAUUUAGACUUUUUUGCAUAUUUGGUCCUUGAACUUAUUUGUUAUUUAUUUAGGAAUCCCAAUACUUUUUAAAUGUGAAAAUUGAUCUUUAAUUUUGUCCCAAACUUCAGAAAUUAUAUUUAAACCCCUUAUAGUA